GCAUGCGUAUAGACGGGUCAACAAAUGAACAUUGAGACAGACCGAAUGUGGGAGAAGUUUGUUGUUGAGUGUUUGGAGAAAAUCUUCUCUUUGAUUUUCUUUUUGAUUCUUUUGAAAAUCUUCUCUUUGAUUUUCUUUUUGAUUCUUUUGAAAAUCUUCUCUUUGAUUUUCUUUGAACAUUUCCCAUACCUCAGUUAUGUUUAUUUUAAGGCAAAGGAUCCCGACCUGAUCACAUUGCAAAAGCUUUCAGAGAAUUAGAUAUUUUCUCUAAUUGCUGGACGACGGCAAUAACUUGUGGUUUGAUGUCCAGCAGACCCGAAUAUACAUAUGUGGUUGAUCUAACUGUGUGGAGCAUUUAACCUGAAGAUAGACACAAAGUGCUGGAGCAACUCAGCGAGUCAAGCAACAUCUCUGGAGAAACGGAACAGUUGACGUUUCAUUCGGCAGGAUCUCGCUGGGACUAUCUAUGAUGACAAAUAAGAGGCUGCGGUCUGGCCGGCACCUUGAAGGGAGUAAAACGUGCACUAUCGGAUCCAUUGAGUUUGAACUCCUGAGAGUGCCUGGGAACACCGUGGUCCCUCGUCUGAGGUUGAUCUGGUUCCCUGCCGAGAUCCUUUAGACGGACAUCGUAAGUUUCAGUUUCAGAGAUAUGGCCCACCGAGUCUGCGCCGACCAGCGACAUUAGCAGUAUCCUACACAAGAGGGACAAUUUACAAUUUUUGCCAAAGCCAAUUAACCUAUAAACCUGUACGUCUUUGCAGCAUGGGAGGAAACUGGACGCUUGGAAAAAAUCCAUGUGGUCACAGGAAGAACUUUAAAAGUCUGUACAGAUGAUAAAGUUUGCUUACUUAAAAACAGACAACACACAAUGGGUUAGGUAAACCAACUCAAGCUUUACUGCCGGCGGGAGUGUCGGGGAUACACCAGUCAAGUAAGCAACAGGCACUUGACCCUCCCUAGCCACCACUCCAAUGAACCAAGAGAUAGAGGGCCUUUUAUAGUGUGUAGGAAACAUGCUUAUACAGAGUUGCAGCAAUGACGUUUACACAAAUCAAUCACAAGCUGUACCCAUUCAAAGUAUACUUGUCACUAACACAAUACGUCAUACUGUGGUUAUAUCGAUCACAAACUGUGUUUACAAAACUUCUCCAUAAUAGGAACUAGUCAAUGGUAAGGAUCCUUAUCAAUUACACACAGAAGUUUCUAUUUACCCAAUUUCCAGUCCACGGAUAACCAGCAUCCUCUCCCAGCAAUUGUUCUUUAACAAGCAUAACAGGAUGAACCAACAGAAGAGUUUGGUAUGCAAGCUUAAUGAUUCCAUCAGCUCCUCUAGUAUGGUACAGAAUUGCAAACAUCAGUUUAUUCCAGACCCAAAAGGUCAAGCUGAUCUUUUACUUAUUCUACUAUUUGAUUCUCCUAUUUUAUUGUAUCUGUUACUUACAUACUCAAUAUAUUCUCACAGACAGCACCCGUAGUCAGGAUCAAACCUGGGUCUUUGGCUCUGUAAGGCAGCAACUCUACCGCCCAGGGGAGGCAGGAGGUGGAGAAGGAGAAAACUCCAUGUACAUUUCCAUUUUAUGCAAAACAAAUACUUUUUCUGGACCUAGGGACUGUACAUCUGACAAUAGAGUGCCAUUGAAUAAUUCAAUCAAAGUCCUAUAAAGGAAGAAUCUUUAUUGCUAUUGUUGGCUCUUUUCUGUGAUUUUCCCCGAAUACAAAACUUAAAACUACAGCAAAAAUGUUGGACUUUUUACAUUGGGUUGCAGAUCCAAAACAUUGAUUGUAUCUCAUUCCACAGAUACUGCCAGGCAUGCUAAGAUUUUCCAGCAUUUUCUGUUUCUUUGAACGAGAAAUAUGUUUACUUCAUACAAAAAAGAGUAGAUUAUUUUGGAUGCGAUCUGAAAAUUUGUGUCAUUCAUUCCAUGUGCAAAGGCAUUUAUCUCCUUGCUUGAAGAAGAGUCCCGACCCGAAACAUCACCUAUACAUGUUCGCCAGAGAUGCUGCCUGACCCGCUGUUACUCCUGCAUGUUGGGUCCUUUUGUGUGAACCAGUAUCUCCAAAUCCACGUUUCUUCACCUCCUUGUUCACCUUUUAAUAAACGACAGGCGAAGCUGCACCUGAGACCAAAAAUAUACUCAUUAUCUUUUGCAACAACUGCCCCAUGUUUAGUUUUGUAAAGGUUAAUGUCCUACAUCCCAGCCUUCUUUGAAUACUAGGUUACAAUUCAAGAGUCAAUUAUUUCCUCUUCCCAAGUGUCAAUUAUUUCCUCUUCCCAUGAUACCACGCAGUCAGAAAAGUCAAACGUUCCAGCGCCUAACUUCCAAUGUUAACUGAAAAUGCUCCAAUAACACAUAGUUGAACGAAUGUUCACGAUUUAAUUAAAUUUGAUGUUUGCUCGGAAAAGUUCAU